AUUGAACGCUGGCGGCAUGCCUUACACAUGCAAAGUCGAACGGCAGCACGGGAGCAAUCCUGGUGGCGAGUGGGCGAAACGGGUGAGUAAUAUAUCGGAACGUGCCCAGUCGUGGGGGAUAACGUAGCGAAAGCUACGCUAAUACCGCAUACGAUCUAUGGAUGAAAGCGGGGGAUCGCAAGACCUCGCGCGAUUGGAGCGGCCGAUAUCAGAUUAGGUAGUUGGUGAGGUAAAGGCUCACCAAGCCGACGAUCUGUAGCUGGUCUGANAGGACGACCAGCCACACUGGGACUGAGACACGGCCCAGACUCCUACGGGAGGCAGCAGUGGGGAAUUUUGGACAAUGGGCGCAAGCCUGAUCCAGCAAUGCCGCGUGCAGGAUGAAGGCCUUCGGGUUGUAAACUGCUUUUGUACGGAACGAAACGGUGAGCUCUAAUACAGUUUGCUAAUGACGGUACCGUAAGAAUAAGCACCGGCUAACUACGUG
rnacentral:rRNA from 1 species